rnacentral:rRNA from 1 species
GAUGAACGCUGGCGGCGUGCCUAAUACAUGCAAGUCGAGCGAACGGACGAGAAGCUUGCUUCUCUGAUGUUAGCGGCGGACGGGUGAGUAACACGUGGAUAACCUACCUAUAAGACUGGGAUAACUUCGGGAAACCGGAGCUAAUACCGGAUAAUAUUUUGAACCGCAUGGUUCAAAAGUGAAAGACGGUCUUGCUGUCACUUAUAGAUGGAUCCGCGCUGCAUUAGCUAGUUGGUAAGGUAACGGCUUACCAAGGCAACGAUGCAUAGCCGACCUGAGAGGGGGAUCGGCCACACUGGAACUGAGACACGGUCCAGACUCCUACGGGAGGCAGCAGUAGGGAAUCUUCCGCAAUGGGCGAAGGCCUGACGGAGCAACGCCGCGUGAGUGAUGAAGGUCUUCGGAUCGUAAAACUCUGUUAUUAGGGAAGAACAUAUGUGUAAGUAACUGUGCACAUCUUGACGGUACCUAAUCAGAAAGCCACGGCUAACUACGUG